UUUCGGAAUUCUCAGUUCCUGCUGGCCAACCUUAUUCAUUAGAUCAUGGGCUUGGCUCUUGGAGACAGUCAAUGUUUUCUGUAGAGAAUAUUACCCCGCAGUGGCCAGGAAGCAAAUGCCAAUAGAUCUCCAAAAUAUUUGAUCAUACCAAUGGAUUGCCUAGAAUAUCUUGUGGUCUUUCUGUUGCCUUUGAGAGAAUGUCAUGGAAUACCAGGUGGGGGUGGGGCAGGUGAGCUCAGGGUAGCAAGGAUUCUGACAUAGCAAAGGGAAAUUCUGUAUGGGACAGACUCAAAGGUCCCAGAUGCCCUCUCAAAUGAAGAUGGCAAUAUUCCAAAUAUUCAUUGAUCCAGAAGCAUCUCAUGGCAGGUAUAAGAUCUGGGAGAACUCAUCUUAUUCCAUUCCCAGGAAGCAAACAUCCCUUCUUGGGCAAUGUCUCCAGGCCACGCUUCUCAUCCACAGAGCAGGUGCCUGUUCUCCCCGGGUCAUCUGACAGGGGAGAUAGAAAAGCUGCAAGAGAAAGCUCACAGCACGGGGCUGAGCCCUGGAGGGGAAGUACGGAGGCCUGUAUUCUAAUUCACUGAUGAUCAAUUUGCAAGUUCUUUUUCUCUUAGUUCCCUUAGUUUCCUUCCAGGUAAUGCAGAAUUCCUUGAAGCUUCUCUAGGUUGUUUUACUUUGCAAUCUUUGGUUAGAAGGUCUUUCUCAUGUUAACAGGUGAGUUAAGGUAAGAGCCCCAGACUCCUGGGCUUCCCCCAGCCCACUCCAUGACCCCAAAAGAGAUUCCAUUGGGGGAUACAGUUUGAAUCACCUGAACUAGACAAUUAUUACAGCUUCUCUUCCAGGUUGAAUAUUUCAGGGUCCCUUGCCAAACAGGGGAAGAUCUUGUUAAACCAAAAUCCCAAAUAGAUUUCAAAUAUGCCGGAAGUUUACAUGACCCUAAAGACUGCUCUCCAUGAGAGACUCAGGGGCUGGGGUAGUACCUUCUAAAUUUCCAUGGGAAAAUGAACAUGCUCCAGCAAGAGCUUGGGAAAAGAAGAUAGUCCCUAAGUUUUAUUGUUUGAAAUUUGUCACUCAAGGAUGCGAACGUAUCGCUGACAAUUAUGUAGCAUCUCAGAGCUCAGAAAGCACUUUUGCAUCGAUUAUUUCAUUUCUUGUUCGUGCCAGUUGUGUGAGGUGGACAACAUUAUGUUCAUAUGAGAAAUGCAGCCCAGAGAGGCUCAAACCCAGCACUUUUAACUCCCAAUCUCCCUCUUUUCUCAGUACCAUGUGGUAAGUCUUUAUUAACCAGAGUGUCCAAUUAACCAGAACAUGCCUGUGUCUUAGGGAUCAUCCCAGACUGAUUUUCUUUGCAGAAAACCCCAGGGAGCCACAGCCUUUCCUGCACCUCCUUUUGUUAGCUGUAUGUUUUUUUAGGGGCCCAGUGAGGACUGCAUUUCAGAGCCUGUGUUGCAAAGCUCAUUGCUGUGGAGGAGACGGUUAUGGGCUGGGGCCUGGGUCUUCCGCCCCUUCCUGGCAGACCAGGAGCUUCAGUUGCUCUCUGUGAAGUUCUACUUUGCAGGAGCCUGACACAGACGACAGCCCCAGGUGAUCCCUAUUCUUCAAGACCAAGCCAGGGAAAAUCUUCCAGAUGUUCUUGCUACUCACCCCGACCUUGCGGUCUUACCCUUCUGGCUGAACAAGAGACAAACAGCUCCUCUCCACUUGGCUGUGUGCGGCUUAACGAAUGCGUAUGAAGACCGUAUAAAUAAUUCACAUCACUCAAGAGGUGGCGAGCUGAACAAGUCCCUUCUGGUUACAUUUAUUUCAAGAUAAGGUGAAACUAAUGCCCCCUAAAUAUUUCCACUGAAGACUUUUAGAACUUUGGAAUAAGGAAAGUGUAUCUCCAGCUGACAAUAAAAUUUACGAAGCAAAGAAUGCCUCCGUUAAUACUUUCCAAACGUCUUUGUUUUUGAAUGAGCAAGAUGCUGAGAACCUUCCAAUUCAGUAACCCUGCCUCUGACAGGCAGCAGAACAGUUAGCAAGGUUGACAGAUAGAUGCAGCCACACGAUGCAAUAAUCCUUGCUGCACUGAACUUUGUAUUUAAACACUUAUUUUAUGUUUAAUUAAUUUCUCCAAAGAGGAAAACUUCCAGGCUGCCUUUGAAGCCGGCUUUUUGUUUAAGAUAUUUUGUUUUAAGAAUAAGAGAAAAAAAGGAAGGAAGGAAACGGAGGGAAAAUGUUUAUGUUUUUCCUGUUGUUUUUUCAAAUAUGAUGUGACAUUGUGAAGAGGCCUCCUGAAAGUGCAAUUUUUUGUUUGUGAUGGAAGAGAGAUGCACCUAUGAGUCUUACAUCAUCAAAGAAACAGACGCGUAUCUAUAAUUUAUGCUUUGCUUUAAGCUUCUGCUGAUCUGAUGUGGCUUUUUUAAGACAACACAGGCAGCCCUGGCAUCACUUGUCAAUCAUCGGGGCAUGCUCAAAUCGUAGACCAUUAGCAGGAGAGACGGCAGAGUUUCUUUAAUGACGCUUUUAUAUGGGGCAUCCUGGCAGUGAAACAGAGAGGGUUUGAUUUGAUCAAUGCAUUAGCCUAAUCACAGCGUUCCUGCUCUUAAUUUCUUUUGUCGGCAAUUUCCAUACAUGGGUUGCGUUCAGGGUUCUGGCAAAGACCCGUUCAGAACUCCGUGUGACAUGUGCAGUCACCUUGCCCGGAUUUCUCUCGGUGGGAAGCGACGUCUGCAAGAGAGGGGACGGCGGCUGGGCUGGAUGGCUGCCUUUGAGUCCGUCCUGCGGUGAGGCUGGGGAAGGCCCAUUCCACGCGAGCCUUGGCUUCAGCCCUGAGGUGCCUGCCAGCCCCCGUGGCAGACCCCAGCCCUGCCAAUUUCAGCCCCCUUGGUGAUUCUGUUCCAGCGCUCGCCAAAAGCAGAAUCCGUGUAUAAUGAACAAGUUUCAUGUUCAACAUUUUAAGUGUCUAUUUAUGAGUCCCAGUAAUUAGCCCUUUGUCUGCAAUUCUGGCGAUGAUGAUUAGAAUUCCAUCUCACGUUAUGAAUGCUGCUCCCCAAACUUGUCCUUCUCGCCUGGAGAAUCGCAAGCAGCAGAGCACUGAAGGCUACUCUGCCUGGACACAACAGGUGGGAUGUGCCAAGGAAGGAAGGAACACUCCCAGCAGCAGCCCUCAGCCAAUGACUACUGGGAGUUGCAGAGAACCACAGCACUUCCUUCACACUCCACCGGGAACGUCCUAGCAUCUCCUAUGGCGCCAGGCAUCAUUGUGGUGGCCAUCUUCACAAUGCAUUUGCAGGUGGAAGAACUGUCUGUGCCACAGUCGCAUUCCUGCCAGCAUUUCCUAGGGAGCUGAAUAAGGAGAACACAUGGACACAGGGAGGGGAACAACACGCACUGGGGCCUGUCGGCGGGCAGGGGGAGGGAGAGCACAGGAUAAAUAGCUAAUGCAUGCAGGGCUUGAUACCUAGGUCAUGGGUUGAUAGGUACAGCAAACUACCAUGGCACACAUUUACCUGUGUAACAAACCUGCACAGUCAGAUCUUUGUUCAGGGUCAGCUUCUGGAGCAAUGCAAACUGAGACCCCUGAACUCUUGGAAUGUCAGUCAGGUACCUGGUGGGCAGGUUCCUGGACCUCUCGUUUUUUACUGACUAUGUAGGAACUCAGAUCAACUUGCCCUCACCUCUGCCCUGCAGUGGAUGUUCUGGCAAGGAGAUCAGAUAAGGAAACAGCCCUUUCCUACAGAGAGAAAGAACCCUCAAAAGAGAGGAUCUGGUAGCGAUUUCCUGGAGCAGGGUUGCAAAGAGAACUCCUAAUUUUAGUAAAGGAAUAAAAGAAGAUUCCUGCCAGGAAGGAUAAUGAUAGGAUUUUGAAGGGUCUACAGGAGCUGGAAAAUCAAAUGGGAUCAGAAAAAUCACACAGGUGGGAAUAUUCCAGGACAACAUGGAGCACCAUGAGUAGGUGGUUUUGGCUGGAGUGGAUGAAGGGCUUAUGAAGGGAGGAGACCUGGAAGAGAAAGUGGCAAAAGAACAUUAGGAAGAUGCAGGAGGUUGCUG
rnacentral:lncRNA from 1 species